CUGAUGACAGAUGGACAGACAUGCCACUUGUCUAUCAGUGAGAUUCACCCAUCCCGAGGAGCAACAGGCUACGGCUUCUGACAUCUGCCUGAAAUGAUUGAAGACAGAUGCUACCUGGAAUAAUAGUCAUAGUAAUGAUGUAGGCUACAGCAUUUAUUUUAUCACAUGUGAAGAGUUGUGAAGUAUCGGUGGUAUAACUCAUGUUCCGGUACCAGGCCCUUAG